AGAAUGAUUAUAAAGGAUGAGCUACCAUUCAGGUUUGUGGAGAAAGUAGGUUUUCGUGAAUACAUGAGCAUUGUUCAACCUCGGUUUGCUAUUCCUUCUCGUAGAUCAAUAACUAGGGACUGCAUGAGUUUAUUUCUUGAAGAAAAGAGCAAGCUGAAGAAGUUCUUUAAGAGUUACAGGGGAUAUGUUUCUCUCACUACGGAUACAUGGACGUCGGUGCAAAACUUUAGCUACAUGUGUUUAACAGCACACUUCAUUGAUGAUGGCUGGAAUCUACAUAAGAAAAUCAUCAACUUUUGAUCUUGAUUCAAGCUCUACUACAAAUACUAACCAAGUGCCAAGAGGAACCAGUAAUUUAGAAGAAGUGGAUGUGGUUGGAAGUUUUGAUCUUGGUACAUUGAUGGAUAUGCAUGAAGAAACAGAAGCAAAUUUGGUUUUUAAAACAUAAUUGGAGUGUUAUCUAGCUGAUGAUUGUGUUCCUAGGUCUGAUCCGGAUUUUAAUAUAUUGUUGUGGUGGAAGAAAGCAAGUUCAAAGUUUAAGAUUCUCUCCUUAAUGGCAAAGGAUCUUUUAGCAAUACCAGUUUCAACUGUUGCUUCUGAAUCGGCAUUUAGCACAGGUGGUCGCAUACUUGAUCCUUUCCGAAGUUCUCUCACACCAAUGAUAGUUGAAGCACUCAUUUGCACUCAAGAUUGGAUUCGGUAUGAUUAUCCACAAGUUUCUUCGGAGGAAGAACCAAUGGAAGAGCUUGAGACUCUAGAAGAUGAGUAUAGCGCUUUCCCCCAAGGAGUUAGUCUUUCUUUGGAAGAUGAGUGGGUUUAACUUCAUUAAACACGGAUGAAGAAGGUAAGGAAAGAGAAUCAAAGUUGUUAGGAAAUUACACGGCAUCUUACAGAAGAACGG